rnacentral:rRNA from 1 species
AGUGAACGCUGGCGGUAGGCCUAACACAUGCAAGUCGAACGGCAGCACAGUAAGAGCUUGCUCUUACGGGUGGCGAGUGGCGGACGGGUGAGGAAUACAUCGGACUCUACUUUUUCGUGGGGGAUAACGUAGGGAAACUUACGCUAAUACCGCAUACGACCUACGGGUGAAAGCAGGGGAUCUUCGGACCUUGCGCGAUUGAAUGAGCCGAUGUCGGAUUAGCUAGUUGGCGGGGUAAAGGCCCACCAAGGAGACGAUCCGCAGCUGGUCUGAGAGGAUGAUCAGCCACACUGGAACUGAGACACGGUCCAGACUCCUACGGGAGGCAGCAGUGGGGAAUAUUGGACAAUGGGCGCAAGCCUGAUCCAGCCAUACCGCGUAGGUGAAGAAGGCCUUCGGGUUGUAAAGCCCUUUGGUUGGGAAAGAAAAGCAGCAGGGUAAUACCCCGCUGUUCUGACGGUACCCAAAGAAUAAGCACCGGCUAACUUCGUG